rnacentral:lncRNA from 1 species
CGAGGACGCAACGACAAGCACAAUGGCCGGGAGUUGCCUAAAGUCGAGCAUGGAGCCUCAGGGUUAUGGUAUGGCAACACGGGGGUAAUCGGAAAAUUUCCACAAAAACAACCCAUCAAUUUACUCACUUAACACGUAGGCCCUUGAACGUGUCCAUAGAGAAUUUGGUGAAAACCUGCUCCAGUGCAUCGCAGACUUUGCGCAGGGCUGCCGCGACCAUUGUGCUUGCCGUCUUCUACCAGAGGGGUGCAAAGAUUAGGGAUUGGGUUCGGGUACCGGUCAGGCAGAAAUUAGGAUUAGGAAAGAGGGGCAGGAUUAGGAUACAAAGUUGAGGGCAGGUUUAGGAUUGCGGUCCGGCCCCAGGAUUAGGAUUGGAAACCCCCCCAGGAUUGGGAUUGGGACCCGGC